GAACGAGAAUCACUGGAAGGAGUUUUCGGACAACGGAAGGUGAGGACAGUGGCGGACGGGUGAGUAACGCGUGAGGAACCUGCCUUUCAGAGGGGGACAACAGUUGGAAACGACUGCUAAUACCGCAUGACACAUAGAGAUCGCAUGGUUUUUAUGUCAAAGAUUUAUCGCUGAAAGAUGGCCUCGCGUCUGAUUAGCUAGUUGGUGAGGUAACGGCCCACCAAGGCGACGAUCAGUAGCCGGACUGAGAGGUUGACCGGCCACAUUGGGACUGAGAUACGGCCCAGACUCCUACGGGAGGCAGCAGUGGGGAAUAUUGGGCAAUGGGCGCAAGCCUGACCCAGCAACGCCGCGUGAAGGAAGAAGGCUUUCGGGUUGUAAACUUCUUUUGUCGGGGACGAGUAGAAGACGGUACCUGGCGAAUAAGCCACGGCUAACUACGUGCCAGCAGCCGCGGUAAUACGUAGG
rnacentral:rRNA from 1 species